UACGUAGGGGGCUAGCGUUGUCCGGAAUCAUUGGGCGUAAAGCGCGCGUAGGUGGCCCUAUAAGUCCGCUGUGAAAGUCAAAGGCUCAACCUUUGAAAGCCGGUGGAUACUGUAGGACUAGAGUACGGAAGAGGCGAGUGGAAUUCCUGGUGUAGCGGUGGAAUGCGCAGAUAUCAGGAGGAACACCAAUAGCGAAGGCAGCUCGCUGGGACGUUACUGACACUGAGGCGCGAAAGCGUGGGGAGCGAACAGG
rnacentral:rRNA from 1 species